rnacentral:rRNA from 1 species
CAGCCGCCGCGGGAAUACAGAGGGUGCGAGCGUUAAUCGGAUUUACUGGGCGUAAAGCGUGUGUAGGUUGUUGUUCAAGUCAGUUGUGAAAUCCCUGGGCUCAACCUGGGAAUUGCAGUGGAUACUGGGUCACUAGAGUGUGGUAGAGGAUAGUGGAAUUUCCGGUGUAGCAGUGAAAUGCGUAGAGAUCGGAAGGAACAUCUGUGGCGAAGGCGACUAUCUGGGCCAACACUGACACUGAGGCACGAAAGCGUGGGGAGCAAACAGGAUUAGAUACCCGUGUAGUCCCUGUCUCUUAUAC